GCCGUGAGGUGUUGGGUUAAGUCCCGCAACGAGCGCAACCCUCACCCUAUGUUGCCAUCGGGUUAUGCCGGGCACUCUUAGGGAACUGCCGGCGAAGAGCUGGAGGAAGGGGGGGAUGACGUCAAGUCCGUAUGCCCCUUAUGUCCAGGGCUACACACAUGCUACAAUGGCCGGUACAGAGGGUUCCCAACCCGCGAGGGGGAGGCAAUCCCACAAAGCCGGUCUCAGUUCGGAUUGCAGGCUGCAACUCGCCUGCAUGAAGUCGGAAUCGCUAGUAAGCGCAGAUCAGCAGGCUGCGCUGAAUACGUUCCCGGGCCUUGUACACACCGCCCGUCACACCACGAAAGCUGGUUGUACCAGAAGUCGCUGAGCUAACCGCAAGGAAGCAGGCGCCGAAGGUAUGGUCGGUGAUUGGGGUGAAGUCGUAACAAGGUAGCCGUAGGGGAACCUGCGGCUGGAUCACCUCCUUUCUAAGGAGCUUCGGAAGGGUCCGGGGAUCUUCGGAUCUCCGGGCCCUCCAACGCUCGAUCCUGUUGUCCUGCUCGAACUUCCUCGUCUGAGCCAGUGACAUAUUUUUCUUCUGGGCCUUUAGCUCAGCUGGCUAGAGCGCGCGCUUGAUAAGCGCGAGGUCCCUGGUUCGACCCCAGGAAGGCCCACCAGAAUGGCAGGAUGGGGAUGUAGCUCAGUUGGGAGAGCACCUGCUUUGCAAGCAGGGGGUCGCCGGUUCGACUCCGGUCAUCUCCACCAUCGCCGAAUGCGACGAGAAACCUUGUGCGGCCUUUCGGCCGCGAGGUUCUUUGACAAUCGAAUACGUUGAUUCUCGAGUGUAGCCAAGCGAUGUUCUCCGUAGAUUCGUGGUCAAGCUACUAAGGGCGAACGGUGGAUGCCUUGGCGCCAGGAAGCGAUGAAGGGCGUGGCUAGCUGCGAUAAGCCUCGGGGAGCCGCAAGCAGGCUUCGAUCCGAGGAUGC
rnacentral:sRNA from 1 species